AUGAACGCUAGCUACAGGCUUAACACAUGCAAGUCGAGGGGCAGCAUGGUCUUAGCUUGCUAAGACUGAUGGCGACCGGCGCACGGGUGAGUAACACGUAUCCAACCUGCCGUCUACUCUUGGACGGCCUUCUGAAAGGAAGAUUAAUACAAGAUGGCAUCAUGAGUCCGCAUGUUCACAUGAUUAAAGGUAUUCCGGUAGACGAUGGGGAUGCGUUCCAUUAGAUAGUAGGCGGGGUAACGGCCCACCUAGUCUUCGAUGGAUAGGGGUUCUGAGAGGAAGGUCCCCCACAUUGGAACUGAGACACGGUCCAAACUCCUACGGGAGGCAGCAGUGAGGAAUAUUGGUCAAUGGGCGAGAGCCUGAACCAGCCAAGUAGCGUGAAGGAUGACUGCCCUAUGGGUUGUAAACUUCUUUUAUAAAGGAAUAAAGUCGGGUAUGCAUACCCGUUUGCAUGUACUUUAUGAAUAAGGAUCGGCUAACUCCGUGCCAGCAGCCGCGGUAAUACGGAGGAUCCGAGCGUUAUCCGGAUUUAUUGGGUUUAAAGGGAGCGUAGAUGGAUGUUUAAGUCAGUUGUGAAAGUUUGCGGCUCAACCGUAAAAUUGCAGUUGAUACUGGAUAUCUUGAGUGCAGUUGAGGCAGGCGGAAUUCGUGGUGUAGCGGUGAAAUGCUUAGAUAUCACGAAGAACUCCGAUUGCGAAGGCAGCCUGCUAAGCUGCAACUGACAUUGAGGCUCGAAAGUGUGGGUAUCAAACAGGAUUAGAUACCCUGGUAGUCCACACGGUAAACGAUGAAUACUCGCUGUUUGCGAUAUACGGCAAGCGGCCAAGCGAAAGCGUUAAGUAUUCCACCUGGGGAGUACGCCGGCAACGGUGAAACUCAAAGGAAUUGACGGGGGCCCGCACAAGCGGAGGAACAUGUGGUUUAAUUCGAUGAUACGCGAGGAACCUUACCCGGGCUUAAAUUGCAGAUGAAUUACGGUGAAAGCCGUAAGCCGCAAGGCAUCUGUGAAGGUGCUGCAUGGUUGUCGUCAGCUCGUGCCGUGAGGUGUCGGCUUAAGUGCCAUAACGAGCGCAACCCUUGUUGUCAGUUACUAACAGGUUCCGCUGAGGACUCUGACAAGACUGCCAUCGUAAGAUGUGAGGAAGGUGGGGAUGACGUCAAAUCAGCACGGCCCUUACGUCCGGGGCUACACACGUGUUACAAUGGGGGGGUACAGAGGGCCGCUACCACGCGAGUGGAUGCCAAUCCCAAAAACCUCUCUCAGUUCGGACUGGAGUCUGCAACCCGACUCCACGAAGCUGGAUUCGCUAGUAAUCGCGCAUCAGCCACGGCGCGGUGAAUACGUUCCCGGGCCUUGUACACACCGCCCGUCAAGCCAUGGGAGCCGGGGGUACCUGAAGUGCGUAACCGCGAGGAGCGCCCUAGGGUAAAACUGGUGACUGGGGCU
rnacentral:rRNA from 1 species